rnacentral:sRNA from 1 species
UCAGACCCGGACAGAAGUUAAAAAGCCGGGUUGAAAACGCUUCGCCCAAAGAUGAGUAAUUUGAUCCAAACCUGACUAACAAAAAAGGCCGCAUUGCGGCCUUUUUUCUUUUCUGCAUCGCCGCUGCGCCGUAGAAUCAGGCACAUCUUUUUCAGCUGAAUGGACAAC